rnacentral:rRNA from 1 species
UGGGGAAUAUUGCGCAAUGGGCGAAAGCCUGACGCAGCAACGCCGCGUGAGUGAAGAAGGCCCUUGGGUUGUAAAGCUCUUUCGGCUGGGAAGAAGCCUUUGUGUGUGAAUAGCAUGUGAGGGUGAUGGUACCAGAAUAAGAAGCACCGGCUAACUUCGUGCCAGCAGCCGCGGUAAUACGAAGGGUGCGAGCGUUGUUCGGAUUUAUUGGGCGUAAAGGGUUCGUAGGCGGGACAGUCAGUUAAGUGUGAAAACCCUGGGCUUAACCUGGGACGUGCACUUAAUACUGCUGUUCUUGAGUGUUGGAGAGGGUCAUGGAAUUGCUGGUGUAGGAGUGACAUCCGUAGAGAUCAGCAGGAACACCAGAGGCGAAGGCGAUGACCUGGCCAGGCACUGACGC